rnacentral:tRNA from 1 species
GCCUGGGUGGCUCAGUCGGUUGAGCUUCCGACUUCGGCUCAGGUCAUGAUCUCACAGCUCGUGGGUUUGAGCCCCGCGUCGGGCU